AAAGAACCUUCAUUCCAAGUAAACAAUGAAACAUUUCAUCAACCAACCUGUCACCUAUUUAAGCACACUAUUUUGAGAAAUCCAAGUCCAAGAUUUCUAGAGGAGAAUAUGAAACUUUUGAAAAGGAAAAUCUAGGUGUUGACAAAAAUUGCUUCGCGUUUUCAUCUUGAGUAAUGUUACUUACAGAUGCAUAAAGUCUCGAGGAGAGGGUCAAGUAAUGUUGGAAAGAUAUCUCUUAAGACUAAAAACUUUGUGGAUUAGUUCAAAUUCUGCAUUUCAUAUGGCACGGCACAUUCAAUCGCUUCUUUCAGAGCUUCUCUUCCCAGAUUAACAAGUACCUCAUUUGCAUCUUUAUAACUGCUUAACUCAUUCUUUUUCGGCCAACAUACUUGCCAACACCUUUCUUUCCCCAGACGGCGGGCAAGCUCUUCAGCCAAUGCUUGGCCUGGUAAAUCACCAUCAGUUGCCAGCACAAUCCGGGACGCCUUCUCCAAGCACUCAUUGCAGUUCCACAGGUAUGAAAAUCUGGUAUCCUCUUCCAGUGGUAGCAGUUCUUUGGAUGCGAUGCCCUGUGGUGCACCAUUAGGAACACUGACACAGUUAGGAAAUCCAGCUUCUUCCACUGAAAGCUUAUCUAUUUCACCUUCUACAAUGAUGAUCUCAUCUGCUUCUCUUACAUCAUCCAGUCCAUAUAGUACCUUAUCAGCACCCUUCUCCUGCCAAAACCUUUUCUCAAGAGUCCUAUACUUGCAGCCGAUGAGCAUACCAUUCCGUCUAUAAGUGAAGGCAAUGAUGAUCUGAUCACCAGCCAUUUGCAUGACAUGAUUUCUCUUCAAAGUAUUCAUUGAUAUCAUCCUCUUAGAAAAAUAUGCAGCCAGCAUAUCACCUAAUGGUUCUAAGUUCAAGCUUUCCUCUGUAAGUAUCCGAGGAAAAUUUAUUCUGCCACGUUGAUGGACCCCAUCAGAUGCCGCACUAUUGUGUGGGAUCUGGCCUGCCCA
rnacentral:misc_RNA from 1 species